rnacentral:rRNA from 1 species
AUUGAACGCUGGCGGCAUGCCUUACACAUGCAAGUCGAACGGCAGCACGGGUGCUUGCACCUGGUGGUGAGUGGCGAACGGGUGAGUAAUACAUCGGAACAUGUCCUGUAGUGGGGGAUAGCCCGGCGAAUGCCGGAUUAAUACCGCAUACGAUCCACGGAUGAAAGCGGGGGCCCUUCGGGCCUCGCGCUAUAGGGUUGGCCGAUGGCUGAUUAGCUAGUUGGUGGGGUAAAGGCCUACCAAGGCGACGAUCAGUAGCUGGUCUGAGAGGACGACCAGCCACACUGGGACUGAGACACGGCCCAGACUCCUACGGGAGGCAGCAGUGGGGAAUUUUGGACAAUGGGCGAAAGCCUGAUCCAGCAAUGCCGCGUGUGUGAAGAAGGCCUUCGGGUUGUAAAGCACUUUUGUCCGGAAAGAAAUCCUUGGCUCUAAUACAGUCGGGGGAUGACGGUACCGGAAGAAUAAGCACCGGCUAACUACGUG